CAGCACCUCAAGUGGUCAGGAUGAUUAUUGGGCCUAAAGCAUCCGUAGCCGGCGCUGUAAGUUUUCGGUUAAAUCUGUACGCUCAACGUACAGGCUGCCGGGAAUACUGCAGAGCUAGGGAGUGGGAGAGGUAGACGGUACUCGGUAGGAAGGGGUAAAACCCUUUGAUCUAUUGAUGACCACCUGUGGCGAAGGCGGUCUACCAGAACACGUCCGACGGUGAGGGAUGAAAGCUGGGGGAGCAAACCGGAUUAGAUACCCGAGUAGUCC
rnacentral:rRNA from 1 species